UACGUAGGGUGCAAGCGUUGUCCGGAAUCAUUGGGCGUAAAGAGCGUGUAGGCGGCCCGAUAAGUCCGCCGUGAAAGCCCAGGGCUCAACCCUGGAAUGCCGGUGGAAACUGUCGGGCUGGAGUCCGGAAGAGGCGAGUGGAAUUCCUGGUGUAGCGGUGAAAUGCGCAGAUAUCAGGAGGAACACCAAUGGCGAAGGCAGCUCGCUGGGACGGUACUGACGCUGAGGAGCGAAAGCGUGGGGAGCGAACAGG
rnacentral:rRNA from 1 species